AGCCCCGUACGCGAAGGGUCCGGACUCGCGGCUCUCGAUCCAGAGUAGGGCCGGGCACGUGAAACCCGGUCCGAAGCAGGGGGGACCACCCUCCAAGGCUGAACACUCUCCGAUGACCGAUAGCGAACCAGUACCGCGAGGGAAAGGUGAAAAGCACCCCGAGAGGGGAGUGAAACAGCGCCUGAAACCGUGCGCCCCCAAGCAGCGGGAGCCGUUCCGACGACGGUGACCGCGUGCCUUUUGUAGAAUGAGCCUGCGAGUCGCGGCAUGCGGCGAGGUUAAGGGACACCGAGCCGCAGCGAAAGCGAGCCUGAACAGGGCGAUUUGAGUCGCAUGCCGCGGACGCGAAGCCGGGUGAGCUAUCCAUGGGCAGGGUGAAGCGGGGGUAAGACCCCGUGGAGGCCCGAACCCACUUCGGUUGAAAACGGAGGGGAUGACCCGCGGAUAGGGGUGAAAGGCCUAUCAAACCCGGAGAUAUCUCGUUCUCCCCGAAACAGCUUUAGGGCUGGCCCCGGGCAUUGACCAUCGGAGGUAGAGCACUGGACCGGCGAGGGGGCCUCACCGCCUACCGACCCAGACCAAACUCCGAAUGCCGAUGGUUUGGACCCCGGGAGUCAGAGCGCGUGGGCUAAGCUGCGCGCUCGAGAGGGAAACAGCCCAGACCGCCCGCCAAGGCCCCAAAGGCCGUGCUAAGUGGCAAAGGAUGUGCGCCCGCCCAGACAACCAGGAUGUUGGCUUAGAAGCAGCCAUGCAUUCAAAGAGUGCGUAACAGCUCACUGGUCGAGUGGGGGCGCGCCGACAAUGCGCGGGGCUCAAGCACGGCGCCGAAGCGGCGGAAUCGAUUUAUUCGAUUGGUAGGGGAGCUUUCCAUGCCGGGCGAAGCCGGAGGCGCGAGCCCCGGUGGACGGCAUGGAAGUGAGGAUGCAGGCAUGAGUAGCGAGAGAGCGGCGAGAAACCGCUCCGCCGAAAACCCAAGGUUUCCUGGGCGAGGCUAAUCCCCCCAGGGUCAGCCGGGAGCUAAGGCGAGGCCGCAAGGCGCAGCCGAUGCACGACGGGCAGACAUUCCCGUGCCGGCGCGGGCGCGCUACGACCGAUGGGACGACGGGGAAGGAUACGCGAGCGGGGUUCUGGACGUCCCCGUGAAAGCGCGUAGGGAGGGGCCCAGGGAAAUCCGGUCCCCACACAUCCCGAGACGCGAGACGAGCCGCACGGCGAAGUCGCGGAUUCCAUGCCUCCUAGAAAAAUCCCUAGGCAGCGCCCACGCCGCCCGUACCAAAACCGACACAGGUGGGUAGGAAGAGCAUUCCGAGGCGAUCGGGGCAACCAUGGUCAAGGAACUCGGCAUAAUCGUCCCGUAACUUAGGGAGAAGGGACGCCCCCCAGCGUGAACCGGCUCGCCCGGGGAGCGCCGGGGGGCCGCAGCGAAAGGGCCCAAGCGACUGUUUACCAAAAACACAGGACUCUGCCAAGCCGCGAGGCGAAGUAUAGGGUCUGACGCCUGCCCGGUGCCGGAAGGUCACGGGGAUCCGUUAGCCUUUGGCGAAGCGGUGAACCCAAGCCCCGGUAAACGGCGGCCGUAACUAUAACGGUCCUAAGGUAGCGAAAUUCCUUGUCGGGUAAGUUCCGACCUGCACGAACGGCGCAACGACUUGGGCGCUGUCUCGACCAUGGGCCCGGCGAAAUUGCAUUAUCCGUGAAGAUGCGGAUUCCCCGCGGAAGGACGGAAAGACCCCGUGAACCUUUACUGCAGCUUGGCAUUGGCCGCAGGCGCGGCGCGUAGAGGAUAGGCAGGAGGCUGCGAAGCCGGGGCGCCAGCCCGGGCGGAGCCGACCUUGGAAUACUGCCCCCGUCGCGUCGGCGGCCUAACCCGGGGACGGCCCGGGGACCGUGCCAGGCGGGCAGUUUGACUGGGGCGGUCGCCU
rnacentral:rRNA from 1 species